rnacentral:rRNA from 1 species
UGGGGAAUAUUGGACAAUGGGCGCAAGCCUGAUCCAGCCAUGCCGCGUGGGUGAAGAAGGCCUUCGGGUUGUAAAGCCCUUUUGUUGGGAAAGAAAAGCAGUCGGUUAAUACCCGAUUGUUCUGACGGUACCCAAAGAAUAAGCACCGGCUAACUUCGUGCCAGCAGCCGCGGUAAUACGAAGGGUGCAAGCGUUACUCGGAAUUACUGGGCGUAAAGCGUGCGUAGGUGGUUUGUUAAGUCUGAUGUGAAAGCCCUGGGCUCAACCUGGGAAUUGCAUUGGAUACUGGCAGGCUGGAGUGCGGUAGAGGGUAGUGGAAUUCCCGGUGUAGCAGUGAAAUGCGUAGAGAUCGGGAGGAACAUCCGUGGCGAAGGCGACUACCUGGACCAGCACUGACACUGAGGCACGAAAGCGUGGGGAGCAAACAGGAUUAGAUACCCUGGUAGUCCACGCCCUAAACGAUGCGGACUGGAUGUUGGUUCAAUUAGGAACUCAGUAUCGAAGCUAACGCGUUAAGUUCGCCGCCUGGGGAGUACGGUCGCAAGACUGAAACUCAAAGGAAUUGACGGGGUCAUAGCUG